UCUUCCGGUUACAAUAUGCGCCACCUUCUUCUUUCUCUUCCUUCUAUUUCGCCUACAUAGAAGCCGCAUAGCUUCAAAGACACCACCGGAAGCCGGCGGAUCAUGGCCGUUAAUCGGCCACCUCCACCUCUUAGGUGGUUCCCAACCACCUCACGUCACCUUAGGAAACUUAGCCGACAAAUACGGACCCAUCUUCACCGUUCGUUUAGGUGUUCACAAAACCUUAGUAGUAAGCAGUUAUGAAAUGGUGAAACAGUGUUUUACCGUAAACGACAAAACUUUUGCUUCACGUCCUAAAUCUAUAGCCUUUGAAAUCAUGGGUUAUAACUCUUCCAUGUUUGGUUUGAGUCCUUAUGGUUCUUAUUGGCGUACCGUGCGUAAAAUUGCCACUGUUCAUGUCCUCUCAGCUCAACGGAUAGAUAUGCUUAAACAUGUAAUGGAAUCUGAGGUGAAAGAAGCUAUGAAAGAGAGUUAUUCAUUUUGGUUAAAGAUGAAGAAUGAGGGUAACUCUGAAAGGGUAUUUACGGAAAUGAAAGAAUGGUUUGCAGACAUAGCGAUUAACGUUGUUUUUAGGACAGUAAUGGGAAAACGUUUUGAUGGUGAUGAGGAAGAGAAUCAAAGGAUAAGAAAAAUGAUUAGAGAUUUUUUUAAUCUUAGUGGUUCAUUUGUUGUUUCUGACAUGUUACCGUAUUUGAGAUGGUUGGAUUUGGAUGGAAAACAGAAGCAAAUGAAGAAAACAGCAAAAGAGUUAGAUGACUUUGUUUGUGUUUGGCUUGAUCAGCACAAACAUAAGAAGAAUUCUGGUCGUGAACAAGAUUUCAUGGAUGUGCUGCUUUCAACCGUUGAUGAAGAUUUAGAUGGCCGUGAUGCUGAUACUACAAUCAAAGCCACUUGUAUGGUAUGUCACUUGCUUCCAUUGUCUGCUCUUUCAAAUAUUAUUUCAUGUUUUUAAUUCAAGGCACUCGUUAAUUAGACUUGAAGCAAAGAAAUUAAACUUGAGAAAACAAACCAAAACUAUCCAUAAGAAGCAAAGACACUUGAAACAUCUAGCUUAAAUUUUGUUUUUAAUUCAAGAUACUCGUUAAUAUUUCUCUUAAUCAAAUAAAUCUAAACGGCUAAACAAAAAAAUGCAGCCAAGUCUAGCAACAAAUCUAACCCUACAGAAGAAAAAGACCAAACAUUAAAACAAUGAAAUAUAUUCCACUAAUAUAAAUUUAGCAAUCAUCCAAAAAGAAGAAGAAAAACAAUGCUUCUAUAUCAAGCGAAAUUUCUUUUCUUGAUAUUUCAAGAAGGGAGCUUCUACGGUGUAGUCAGAAAACUGACUCUUUUAAAAAAGUUAAUUUUGAUCUUAAUGUUUGAUUCAUUUUUAAAUUGUUGAUUACCGAUUAAUGAUCAAUAUAUAGUAAUUCAUCUAGUAAUGUUUGCAAUAUCUUGGACUUACAGAUACUAUUUUAUCGUUGGAAUCUUUAACAUGCAAACAGAGUUGAUGAUAUUAUGUGAUAGUCUUAAGUGUUACACUUUGUGGGGUGUUACGCUUAAAACAAGGUAGGAUAAAAUUAGAUUAAGUGUAGUUUUGUUAAUCUAAUGAAUUGAUGAUACUACGAGGACGAAACUUUUGACGCCAAUGUACAAACAGUGGUGUGUUACUCACUACAUUUUUGAUGUUAUAAUGUUAACUUCACCAGAAAAGUCAUUUUCAUGACUUCACCAUAGAAUUUUCCUUUCAAUAAUAUCCUUUUUACGUUAAAAAGGGUAUAAAAUCUGUUGUGUCACUUUAAUUCGGAUUUAGUGGUAAAAGGGGCAUGUUGCGCUGUUCAGUCGACAAGGAUUCCUGAGACAAGUUCUCGUGAUAUUUAACAUUAUUCAUAAUGAAAUAGUUGUGGAAGAUACUUAACGAACUUUAUUUAACUAAGUCAAAUUAUUAUUUUUUUGUAGUGGUCGGGGUUCGAACCCCGAACCUUGCAUAUUUUAUGUAUUGUCCAUAUCAACUGAGCUAAGCUCACGAGGACAACUAAGUCAAAUUAAUUGGAGUACCCAAGUUUAUUUUUGAUUUAAAUAAUUAUUAAUAAAUCUUGAAGUAUGGUUGGAUAUAUAGACAAAAUUCAAUUAAAAUUUAAUUUUCAAACAAAUUAAUAUAGAAAUAUUAAAUUUUAUUUAAUAAUUGGAUGAUGGAUAUAUACCGCACCAAACUUCAGCAUACUCGAAGAAUUCCUUUUCCUUUAUCAUAUACUUCAUUUUUAUCAUAAGAUACAAUGAAACUGAAUUAAACGAUCUAGGUUUAAAUAUGCAAACUGUUCCUGUAAUUUGGGCUAAUUUUGAUUUUCGUCCAUGUAAAAAAAAAAAUUUAAUUACAUCCCUCUAAAUUUUUUUUUGUUUUUAAAAAUGUCCCUGACCCCACUUCGUUGGUGAUGUGGCAUGGGUCUUGCCACGUGGCAGUUGCUGACUGCGCAACUUCUGCCACGUGGCAGUCCACAUAAUAAAAAAAUUAAAAUUAUUUUUAAAAUUAUUUUUUUAAAUUAAAAAAAUCGAAAAAAACUUUUAAAAUUAGAUUUUCGACCAUUAAUUUUUCUAAAUUUGAAAAUUAUAUUUUUUUUCUUCAUAUUUAAAAAAAAAUUAAAAAAAUCAUUUCAUUUUUUUCAGAAAUAUCAGAUUUUAUAAUUUAAAAAAAAAAUAAUUUUUUGUUUAAAAAUUAUAUGAUAAAAAUAAUUUUAAUUUUUUUUCAGAUUUUUUAAAAUGUUUUUUUUAUAUUUUUAAAACAUUAAAAAUAAUUUUAAUUUUUUAAUUAUGUGGACUGCCACGUGGCAUGAGUUGUCCAGUCAGCAACUGCCACGUGGCCCAAAACGUUGCCACAUCACCAGCGAAGUGGGGCCAGGAACAUUUUUAAAACAAAAUUUUUUUUACAGGGAUGUAAUUAAUUUUUUUUUUGUUUAGAGAGACGAAAAUCAAAAUGAGCCCAAAUUACAGGGACGGUUUGCAUAUUUAAACCAACAAUCUAAUUUAAAUGUAAACAUCAAGUUUAGAAUCAAAAGAUUGAUGUCAUGAAAAAAUAUUAUUCAAAAGAUUCAAAAUCUAUCUUCAAGUUAAAAUCAAGUCUCAAAAACUCUAACAACAAAGUUAAUAAGUAAACCAUCCUAUUAAUGUAUAGUUUUGUAAGACGUCUCAAAAAGGUCUAAGAUUUUAUGAAUAUUUAAAAAUGAUUGCUGUUAAAUUUUACUCAUAUUAAUUAUUUAAAAAAUAUGAUAGAGAAUAAAUUGAUAGUAUGCGGAUAAAUUUAAGGAUUAAUUGCAUUUUUUGUCUCCUAUCUUUUUAAAAGUUACGAUUUUGGCCUCCUAACUAAUUAAAAUACAAAACAACCCCCUAUGUAUUGGAUCUUUGGCAGUUUUGGCUCUCAAUGUCACUUUUGACUUAGUCUUCGCUGACGUGGCACCCACAUCCCUUAAGUAAGGUGCCACAAGUCGACCAUUGUGGGUGUCACGUCAACGAAGACUAAACCAAAAGUGAUAUUGGAGGCCAAAACUGUCAAAGAUACAAUACAUAUAAGACUGUUUUGUAUUUUAAUUAGUUAGGGAGUCAAAAUCGUAACUUUUGAAAACAUAAGGGAGCAAAAGUGCAAUUAAGCCUAAAUUUAAGAAUCAAAUUGAUAUUAGAUAGUUGAAAUAUAAAGACUUUAUUAAUAGUACAUGAUUAAAUAUAAAGAUCAAUUUGAAACUUUAAUAAAGUAAGAGACCUUUUAAAAAUAUUUAUAAAACCAAAGACUUAUUUGCAAGAUUUCUACAAAAUCAAAACUAAUUUGAAUACUUCCUCCAAAAAUAAAUUAAGAGUUAAUUAAGUUUUUAGUCCCUAUAAAUAUUCACAGUUUUGUUUUUAGUCCCUACAAAAUAAAAUCACACUUUUUAGUCCUUGUGACAUUUUCCUUAAGCAUUUUAAGGACUAAAAAUGCUGAUGGAAAAAUUUUAUAGGGACUAAAAUGCUGAUGGAAAAUUUUAUAGGGACUAAAAAAGUUGAUGGAAAAUUUUAUAAGGACUAAAAAGUAUGACUUUAUUUUAUAGGGACUAAAAACAAAACUGUAAAUAUUUAUAGGGACUAAAAACUUAAUUACCCAUAAAUUAAUUAUAGUCCAUAGUAACCCAUCAUGAAUAAGUCGGUACAUUCUUUCAAACAAGUAUAAGUCGGUUACUAUUCAAAGACUUGCUUUAUUUAAAAAAUUGGCAAAUAUAACUUUUAGUCCUUUUAGUUUGAAAGAAUUAUUAAAUUAGUCUUUUACGUUUUAAAAGUUUCAAUUAGAUCAUUUUAGUUCGAUAAAAUUCUUAAAUUAGUCUUUUAAAUUUUAAAUAGGUCCUUUUAGUUUGACAUAACUUCCAAAUUAGUGCUUUAAAUUUCAACAUUUCAAAUUAAAAUGACAUAUUUGAAAUUUUUGAAAUAGUUACGAUGAAAUAGUUUAUCAACUAAAAGGAUCAAUUAAAAACUUUUAAAACUUAAAAGACUAACUUGAGAAUUGUGUAAAACUAAAAAGACAUAAUUGAAAUUUAAAAGACUAACUUAAAAAUUUUGUCAAAUAAGAUUUUUCCUAAAAAAAUAUUACGUAUAUAUCUUUUCUUGGAAGGAACAUAUCUACCUCCAUAUCUAUUGAAAUCUAGAUGAGUGUGGAUCAUUAUCUCUUUCGGCUAGCACGACCAUGUGGUUUUCUCCAAAUUUGUCUAGGCAUUGGAUAGAAAAGGAUGACUUUGUGUAUUGUCCUUUUCCGAAUUUUUAAAUUGUUUCAUUUUUUAAUUUAUCUAUAUACAAUAGUCUUAUUUAAAAGUGCUGUAUGAUAUGACGCUCGUAAAGGUCUAAAUAGCGCUUUAAAAUAAGAAAAACAUUGUCUAAAUGUGGUUUUAUAUAGCCCUUUCACCUAUAAACGCUGCCUUAAGGGAACUUUACCUAACACUUUUAGAUUUAAGCGUUAUUUAAAGGUGGUUUUACAUAGAGCUUCAACGCUUAAGCGUUAUAAUUAUUUUUUAAUAUUAAAAUCUAAAAAGUUUAUACAUAUAUAAUAUUCUACCAUUGCAAUUUUUUUUUGUUGCAAAUAAUAACUGAGACUGCUAUAGUUAUCCAAUAAACCACAAAUAUAUCAUAAAAUGUAUGUAAUUGUUAUAUAUAGCAUAAAAGUUACAAUUGUAUGACCACUAUCUCUAAGAAGUUACGAAGGAUUGAAUGAAUAUCUCUAAGGUACAACUAGUAAACAGAAACAUCAAAAUCUUCUUAGGUAGCAUGCAAUCUUAUCAUCUAUCUUCUUGGUCUGCCCAAUCUUUUUCCCCAUAACAAGUCAUUAAAGAUGUUUCUCUAAAAAAAAGAAGUCAUAGAAGACGUUAUAUAAAUAAAUGGAUAGAUCAUGAUGCACUUUCACAUUUUGGGAUCUUCCUUCACUUAAAUAUAUUGAAGAAGAAAAAAAGAAAUUUAUUAUAAAUAAAACAAAUAAUAUUGUAGUACAUCCUUACAUAAACAUUAGGUGUCACAUUGUUAUUGUCCUUGAAGAUUUAUCCGUCUCAUAUAUGCAAAUUCCUAAAAUUUAACGGAUCCUUAUUUAAUAUGAAUAAUAUUCAAAGGUUGCAUAACAAGUUAAAUAUAUUGUAAUGAACAUAUGAGAUGUUAUAAUCCAAAAACAAAGACGGUAAGUAGAAAAUUUGUUUUCUGGUGGAAAAACAUAGAAGUCAAAUACAAUAAUAAAGACAAUUAAUCCACCAAAUUAGAAUACUUCAAUCUUCUAAAUUCACCAAAGUUUUCAGAUGCCAGGACAAACACAAAUUUUAAUUCCCAAUUUACAUGUGAACACUGUACAUUUAGUGACAAUGGAGCUUCUUCAGUGGAGUCAGGACUGACUUUUAUGAAAAAGUUAAUUUUGAUUUAAUGUUUGAUUCAUUUUUAAAUUGUUGAUUGCUGAUUAAUGAUCAAUAGUAAUUCAUCUAGUAAUGCUUGCAACAUCUUGGACUUACAUGUACUAUUUUAUCGUUUUUUCAAAAAAAAAGUACUAUUUUAUCGUUGGCAUCUUUAACAUGCAAACAUAGUUGAUGAUAUUAUGCGAUAGUCUUAAGUGUUACACUUUCUGGGGUGUGACACUUAAAACAAGAUAGGAUAAAAUUAUAUUAAAUGCAGUCUUGUUAAUCUGAUGAUACUACGAGGACUGAACUUUUGAUGUCAACGUAUAAACAGUGGGGUGCUACUCACUACACUUUUGAUGCUAUAGUGUUGACUUCACCAGAAAAAUCAUUUUCAUGACUUCAGCAUAGAAUUUUCCUAGGGACAAUCUCUAAACGAAAGUUUUUUGUUUCUCACAUACAAACCAAAAACUACACAUUCUUAUGAGAAACUUUCAUCCAUUUUACAAAACACAAGUUCUAUAACUUAUUACCAUGAUUCCAAUCAACCCUCCGGAAGCUAAAAACCUACAUAUUUUAAGGCACAUUCAUAACAAAUUUUAGUCUCAUUCAAGAUUUUAAAGUUCUUUAAACUCAAUUUCCUGAAAUCGUAAAACUUGUGAGAAGAUACACAAGAAGACGAAGAUAAAAAGCAAACAAUUGCAUGAUGUUCUCAUAGUUUUCUUUUUGUAGUUUCGACAUUAUUAAUGCUAUACUUUUCAAUUUUCUCAACUAAUUAAAUUGAUUAAAGAGUGUAAAAAUAUAAAGAUUAUUGCAAUAUAUUUUGCAGGCACUAAUUCUAGCAGCUACAGACACUACAGCAGGAACAUUGACUUGGACUCUAUCUUUACUUCUUAACAAUCGUGAGGUCCUAAACAAAGUCAUUCAUGAAUUAGAUACACAAAUUGGUAAGGAAAAGAUGGCAAUACAAACAGAUUUGACGAAGUUGGAGUAUCUUCAAGCCAUUAUCAAAGAAACAUUGCGUCUAUACCCACCAGCACCACUGAAUUUGCCUCACGAGUCUAUUGAGAAUUGUACCAUUGGUGGAUACCACGUGCCAGCUGGUACGCGUCUCCUAACCAACCUUUCGAAGCUUCAACGAGAUCCAAUGUUAUAUUCGGAUCCGUUGGAGUUUCGACCAGAAAGAUUCCUCACAACACACAAGGAUGUUGAUGUCAAAGGCCAACAUUUCGAGUUGAUUCCAUUUGGUGCAGGUAGAAGAAUGUGUCCUGGAAUCUCAUUUGGUCUUCAACUUAUGCAAAUAACACUUGCUACAUUGUUGCAUGGGUUUGACAUAGUGACUUCAGAUGGAGGACCGGUUGAUAUGGUUGAAAUAAGUGGAAUGACCAACAUCAAAGCUUCUCCUCUACAAGUCAUCCUUAGUCCACGUUUGUCAGAUCAAGCUUAUCGUCAAAAUUAAUGUCCGAGGUGGGGAUUUUGGUCUCGCGGUGUGAAUUAUAUCACACCAUUACAUAAACUUUAUUAAAAUUAUUUAUAUUAUCAUUUAAUGUAUAAUAAAAGGAUUCCCAUUCUCUUUUCUCUUUAACAACUGCUUUUGUAAAACCUUGGUUGCCACAGGGACAAAUCAAUUGGAAAUUGUCCUUUGCUAAAUAAGAAAGAUUAUAAAGUACUGAUAAGUGAUGAUUAAGGUUAGUUGCUGAAUUUAAAUUUUUUUAAAAACUGUCGGUUCAAAUUAAUUUACACAAAAUAAGAUCGAUUGAUUAUGGAAUUAUAUUGUUAUGCAUGAGCAUGUCUAAUGAAAACUGCGAUUCUAAAGAAUGAGAAUCACAUGUUUUUCUAGAGAAUAUUUUUUAGAUGGUUACAAUCAUUUAAACACGUAUAAAAAUAUAUUAUUUAAUUAUGUUUGACAUUGAUGAUACCUAAUAUUUCUCUGAUUCUAUUUCUUUUUUGAGUGAUGAUAGGUAUACAUUGAGUGUAUCAAUGAAAAUACACACAUGACAUUGAGUUUUAAUUGAUGAAAGAAAAUAAUAUUAUGCUUUCUCCAUCCUAUUUUAACUGAGUAUUUUGUUUAUUUCACACAUAUUAAAAAAAAGUGUAUAAUUGAAAAAGGGAGAAAAAUAAUUUUAAAUGUCUUGUCAAAUAUUGGUGCAUUUAUUAUUAUCAUAAACGCAAAGUUAAAUAUAUUAAAUUGAAAGUGAUGAAAAUAAUAUGAAUUAGAUCAUAAUUGAAAAAAAAAAGUAAUUAUUACUCCAAGGACAUCCAUUCAUUCACGUUUUUUUUUUUUAUCAAAAAAAAAUUCAUUCACGUUUAACAAACAAACAUGUGAUAAAAUUCAAGGGCAUCUUGAUUGCUAAAACCAUAAUUAGUUUUUCAAUCAUGCUUUGUGGGUUCAAAAAUGUCAUGUGAGAUUUAAGAACCACUAAACCAUCCUUUAUUUUUACUCGAAUAUGAAAACUCAAGUUUUUCGUUUCUAUGAACUUAACUCGCUUGAUAAAGGAUAUUCACUUCGUUCUAUAAUAACUGAGUUAUUUGUAAAAAAAUAUUAUCUUAUGAAUAUUGACUCAUUUCACUUUUUAAUACAACAUUAAUUACUUUUUUCUAAUUAUAUUUUUAAUUAGGUUUAAAUAUGUAUUUCAUCCUUGCAAUUAGGGGUCGUUUAAAAAUUGGUUCCUGUAUUCGCUAAUCCUUGCAAACUAGCCUUGCAAUCAUUAAUCAUUUAAAAUUUCGUCUUUUGACCAACUUAAUCACCGCCACGUCACUAAUUUGAUGACGUGGCAAUCACUGCCACACAUGAAAUUCCAACUUUGCCCUUAAGAAGAGGACAAAAUAUUGAAGAAAGAAUUGGAAACCCUGGGGUAAAAUUGGAAUUUCAUGUGUGAAAGUGAUUGCCACGUCAUCAAAUUAGUGACGUGGCAGUGAUUAAGUGGGGAGAGUGACGAAAUUUUAAAUGAUUAAACAAUGCAAGGGUAAAUUGCAAGGAUUAGCGAACAUAUGGACCAAUUUUUAAAAUACCCCUAAUUGCAAGGAUGAAAUACAUAUUUAAGCCUUCUAAUUAAUACUGCUUUCACCCAACGACAGAUCUGGCCAGGGCAUGGUGUGGCAAGUGCCACACCAUUUUUAUUAUUUUUUAUAUAUAUUUUUUUUAUUAUUAUUUUACUUUAUAGUUUUUACUCAUAUAUUAAUACAAACAUCUUUUAUAUUUAUACAUGUGUCUAUAUUUUUACUCAUAUAUUAAUACAUGAAUAUAUAUUUUUUAAUAUAUACAUGUGUCUGUAUUUUUACUCGUAUUAGUAUGGGGGCUAUUAUUUUUAAUUCUUACACUGUCUAUAUACUUUAAAUUAUAUGUUAAUACGGAGUUUAAUUUUUUUUUUAAAAAUUUUAUACACAUGUCUAUAUUUUUACUCGUAUUUAAUACAGAAAUAAUGUUUUGUACAGUUUGUGCAUCUGUCUAUAUUUUUUAUUCAUAUAUCAAUACAAAGAUUUUUUUUUAAUUAUAUAAUUUAUACUCAAUUGCGCCCCUGAGCGCAACACGCUCAACCGUCUAUAUGCACGGGUAUUCUGCUAGAGUAUUUGAUUGAUCUAUUGUAAAAUCUUUAUUAAAUUUAGUAUUAUUUAAUUAUUUGACAUAACUUUUUUGCCCCACUAAUAUUGUUGUGAGUCCAGAUCGGCCCCUGCUUUCACCACUCCUAAUUUAAUUUAUUCUACUUUACAUUUAUGAUAAAGAAGAAUGUACUAAUACUUGACAAAGACACUCGAAACUAUUUUUCUCUCUUUUUCAUUUAUACACUUUUCUUAAUCUAUGUGAAAUGGUCAACUGACUCAGAAAAAUUAGGACGGAUGGAAUAUUGUAUUGAAAAGUGAAAUGAAUCAAUUUUGUUGGAACAAUAUUUUUUUGCAAAUGACUCGCUUAUUAUAGAACGAAAUGAGUAAUUUCUAUGUAUAAAUUUUGAUGACUUUAAUGUAUCAAAUUGUUGUAACCAAGUAGGUUCAAUUCUCAUGUUAUAACCUUCCUAUUUGAUACGUGGCCUACUUUGAUACGUCUUCCACAUGCUCAUGUUAUAACCUUCCUAUUUCUGGCGUGCCUUUGAGGAAUAUCAGAUCCCUUUUAGGUAAACUCAAUCUAUCUUCUCUCCUGGUUUGUACUUUCUCUGCUCACAAAACCUAUACACAGAGAAGUACAUAUCACAACACUAUGGAUACAAAUAUUAUACUACUCUCACUGCAAUCCCUUCCACUUACAAUAUGCUCCACCUUGUUGUUUCUCUUCCUUCUCUUUCGUCUACAUAGAAGCCGGAUGGCUUCAAAGACACCACCACCGCCGCCAGAAGCCAGCGGAGCAUGGCCGUUAAUUGGCCACCUCCACCUCUUAGGUGGGUCCCAACCACCUCACGUUACCUUAGGAAACUUAGCCGACAAAUACGGACCCAUCCUUCACCGUUCGUUUAGGUGUUCACAAAACCUUAGUUGUAAGCAGUUAUGAAAUGGUGAAACAAUGUUUCACCGUAAAUGACAAAACUUUUGCUUCACGUCCGAAAUCUGCAGCCUUUGAAAUUUUAGGGUAUAACUUUUCCAUGAUAGGUUUCAGUCCUUAUGGUUCUUAUUGGCGUACAGUGCGUAAAAUCGCCACCGUCCAUGUCCUCUCAGCUCAACGGAUAGAUAUGCUUAAACAUGUAAUGGAAUCUGAGGUGGAAGAAGCUAUGAAAGAGAGUUAUUCAUUUUGGUUGAAGAUGAAGAGCGAGCAGGGUAACUCUGAAAGGGUAUUUACGGAAAUGAAAGAAUGGUUUGCAGACAUAGCGAUUAACGUUGUUUUUAGGACAGUAAUGGGAAAACGUUUUGAUGGUGAUGAGGAAGAGAAUCAAAGGAUAAGAAACAUGGAUGUGCUGCUUUCCACCAUUGAUGAAGAUUUAGAUGUUCGUGAUCAGGGACAAUAUAGCGAAAUGGUAUAGUUGGAAGCAUUUUACCAUUGUGUUGCAGAGUUGAACACAGGACACACACAUCAUUCAAUAGACGCAUACCACUCGGCUAACCAUGAAACUGGUGUGGCAACUGCCACACCAUGGUCGUGAUGCUGAUACUAUAAUCAAAGUUACUUGUAUGGUACGUCACUUGCCACCUUUGUCGGCUCUUUCAGUUAUUAAAACACUUCUAUGUUUUUUAAUUGGUUGUCAUUUUGAUGAAUUUGCAUAUGAAUUUUAAAGAUUUAAAUCAAUGAUUUUAUUUUGAUACGAACUUUUAAUGUUCAAAUCUAUGAUCCUUCCUUCAUACAAAAAUUGUGUGAAAAGGGAUAAAUGACGAAAUUGUUAUUUAAAAUUAAUGGUCAAAAGACAAUAAGUAUAAUUUUGCAUUUUUAUUACUAUCCUAAUGUUUUAGGAGAAAGGAGCUAUCAUAAUAAUUUAAACCAACAAUUAAAUAAAGUUUGAUGAAUGUUUGGUAUCCCCUAUGAUAAGAAAAAUCAAUUAUGAAUGAAUUGAUUUUUAGCAUGUUUGGAAUCACGUUAGUUUUUCCAAAAGCGCAUUUACACAAUGUAGUGAAUUUUAGAAGCUCGUAAUAUGAGCUUUUGCGUUAAUGCUUGGUUUUGUGUGAUUUUGGAAAAAACAUGGAUUACAACCGAAUAUCCAAAUAGAGGCUUUGUAGAUUGACUUUCAUGAUUGUUUGGUUUCACUUUUUAAGAUUGUCAAAAGUGUAAAAUUUUAUUUGAAAGAAUUUUUUUCUCGUAGAGUUGAUUCUAGCUUAGACGAGAAAUUGUGUAGUUUACAAAUUCAAAUAUGAUUUUUAUACUCAAAUUCAUCUUUCAAUUUAGUUUUAUGAAUACGUAGUCAAACAUAAAUCACAUUAUAUAAAACUCACUUUUAACUAAAAUUAUUUUUAUAAAAUCAAUUAUUCAAAAACAAUUUGUUCGAUUAAAUGUAAAAUUAUUUAUGUAUGUAAAAAUAAAGUUUGAUUUGAAGUCAUCAAAAACCAUAAAUUAAAGAUUCAAGUUACAAUAAUUAUCACAGGCUCUCGUGAGCAUAGCUCAGUUGGUAGGACAAUGCAUUAUUAUAUGCAGGAGCCGAGGUUCGAACCCCAGAUAUCCCAUUUAUUUACUUUAUAAAAUGAAUUCUAGCCACUAAGCUAUCUGGAAAAAAAAAAUUAUCACUCGAGAAUAUUGAAACGUGUCUUCUUUUCAUGGAAGGAACAUAUCUAUUAUCUAUCCAAAAAUCUAAAUGGUUGUAAAUCAUUAGUUUUUUCGGCUAGCAAGACCUUUUGUUUUUUUUCAAAUUUGUCUUUGCGCUUUGGAUAGGAUAGGAUUCUGUCUGUCAUGUUCUUUUCUAAACUUGGAAAUAAAAAAAAAAAUCAUUUUUUAAUUCAUCUUUAAACAAUAAAAUUUAAGAACAUUGUAUAUUUUCUUUAAAAACAUAUGGUUUUAACAAUAUUGAUAAGUAUUUUAAAACUCCCAAAUAAAUACAUUUUAUUUAAUUCAAAUAUAGACUGCUAAAAUUGCUUAAUAUUUUUUUAAAUGAUAACAAAGGUCAUUUUUAGCUUCUUUUUUUCCUUUCUAAAUAUCCUUUUAAAUUAUUUUAGAUUAAUCACUUGUGUCAUUUUUAUUGUAUCUUAUACAUUUUUGAGAUUGUAUAGAAUGCUUUUUCUUUUAUUGACCAAAAAUACAAUUUCAACUCCGGUGAUUAUUGAACUAUUUAAUUUUUACUUUGCAAUGUUUUAUCCAUUUUGAGCAUUACACAAGAAGAUGGAGAUAAAAGAAAACAGUUGCAUCAUGUUCUCAUAGAUUAUUUUGCAGGCAUUAAUUCUAGCGGCUACAGAUACUACCGCAGGAACAUUGACAUGGUCACUAUCUUUACUUCUUAACAAUCCUGAAGUUCUAAACAAAGCCAUUCAAGAAUUAGAUACACAAAUUGGUAUGGAAAAUAUGGCAAUAAAAUCAGAUUUGGCAAAGUUGGAGUAUCUCCAAGCCAUUAUCAAGGAAACAUUGCGUUUGUACCCACCUGGACCACUCAAUUUGCCUCAUGAGUCUAUUGAGGAUUGUACCAUUGGUGGAUACCACGUGCCAGCUGGCACGUGUCUCCUAACCAACCUUUCAAAACUUCAACGAGAUCCAAUAUUAUAUUCAGAUCCGUUGGAGUUUCAACCAGAGAGAUUUCACACAACACACAAGGAUGUUGAUGUCAAGGGCCAACAUUUUGAGUUGAUUCCAUUUGGCGUGGGUAGAAGAAUAUGUCCUGGAAUCUCAUUUAGUCUUCAGUUGAUGCAAAUCACACUUGCUGCAUUGUUGCAUGGGUUUAACAUAGUGACUCAAGAUGGAGGACCAGUUAAUAUGGUUGAACACUGUAGACUGACCAAUGUCAAAGCCUCUCCUUUACAAGUCAUUCUUAAUCCGCGUUUGUCAGCACAUACUUUUGGUCAAAAUUAAUGCUUGAUGAGUUGAAAUUCUGAUAUGGGUGAGUUGUUUUUACUCUAGAAUAAUAGAAUAAUUAGUGUGAAAUGUAUACCUUUUUCGACAAUAAUUGAUUUCAAAUCUUAUUUGAACUAUUGAAUAUUAGACAAAAUUUUAUAUAAUAUACACUACGAAAGGGUUAAUUUCAUUAAGGUUUGGCUCAGAAAAUAGAGUUGUAAGUUUCAGUUAAAUGAUAAUUGUUUUUAGAGUAUUGUUAUUUAUCUAAAGAGUUUUUAUCAAGAAUUAUCGUUUCCCUUGGUAAUGCGGUAUUUUAGCUGCAUCUUUCUAACCGGUGUUUGCAUUUAGGCUCUGUUUGGAUAACAAGAAACUAACGGAGCGGAACGGAAUGGAGCGGAGUGGAACGGAAUGGGAUGGAACGGAGCGGAACAAAGGUUCCAUCCUAUUGUUUGGAUAUUUUACUACGGAAUGGAACUAAUUUUCCACUCCAUUGUUUGGAAAGUGAAUGGAACGGAAUGAUUUAUAAUUUUUUUAUUCCAUUUUUACCAUUUACUUAAAAACAUCACUAUGUUGAAUUCUCAACUCAAUUCAAUCAAUACGUAGUUAUUUUGACAUUAUUCAUAAAUAGCACAAAAUAAACAAGUAAAGGAAUAAACACAAGUAGCACCACAAAUUAAGAUAAGAACAAAACAUUUUUAAAUUUCGGUUCUGACAUAAUUUGCAACUACAGUAUUUCUAUUUGUCAGGUUAAAUAAAACAAUAAUAAUAUAGGUUACGCGUUAAAAUUCAUCUAUUUUCUAGCCUAUGUAGGUUACAUUAGUUGCAAAUUACUAUUCAUCGUAUUUUUAUAUAUAAUUCAAUAUCAAUAGUUUUUAGAUAUAAUUCAAAAUCGAUCUCAAAGAGGUUUAUAAAUAAGAAACCUAUGUGUUUUUUCUUUUGUAAUUGCUAUAGUCAAUUUUCGUGACACUUUAAUAGGGAAUGAGGAGUGGCUAAUGAAAUACAAAUAGUAGGGAUAAAAAUGUAAUUGGGUUAUUAAUGUGUUCCAUUCCAUUGGAUACAUCCUAAUUUGGGAGGAAUGGAAAAUUGGAUGAAUGAGUGGUAUUGGAUGGAAUGAGUUCCAUCACAUUCCAUUCCAUUCCAUUACAAUUUUGCAAAACCAAACAAUGGAAUCUGACUUUAUUCCAACCCAUUCCAUUCCAUUCCACCACUCUCCAUCAAUCCAAACAUAGCCUUAAUUGAUUGAUCUUGUGGAAAUUUAAAGUAGGAACAUUUACUUUUAAUUUAGAUAUAUAUAUAUUAUUUAGUAAAUUUGAUUAAGAAUUAAUUGAAUGAGAAUUAUUAUUUUUGGUUACAAAUGAGAAGUAUUAUGGUUUAAAAUGAAUCGUACUUUCUGGUUGAAUAUAUUUUUGUACUAUUUGCGUGUUGCAAGUGUCAGAGUCGAAUCCUCGAUAACAUCUACAAUGAAGACCUCAAUUUUUAAUAUUUAAACGGAUCAUAUGUGUGUGCAUCAAUCAUUUAUAACUUUUUAUUAGUAAUAUCUAAUAAACAUUCAAUCCUUUCAACUCAACACUUCACACAAAGUUUUUAAACGGAUCAAUUAACCAUCUUUCAAUAAUUCUAUAUCAUUAUAUUUUAAUAUUGUAAUAUUAAAAAAAUAUGGAUCCCAUACAAAGAGAGAGUGAUUCAUGAAUCACUUCUCCUCAAUAGAUACCUAUUUUUUCGACUUCACAAUGGGAGUGCUUGUUAGGUACUGAGACUUAAAGAACAAGACCCUCCAUUGUGGAUGGCCUAAUAGUCUUAUAUUUCACUACUUCAUUCUUGUUAGGUACUUGUUAGGUACCUAUUCUUUUUAUAUUUCACUGACAUGUCCGUCUUUCCGCUUUUUUAUUGCGCGAACGUUUGAAAAUUAUGAACGGUGUUUUUUUUUAUGAAAUUUUAAUUUUGAUUAAAAGUAAAAAUAUAAAUGUUUGUUGCUUUCGAAUUAUAACAAAUCAAAUUAACCAUGAAUAUCUAUUUCAAUGAAACCAACGAUAUAAGAAAAAAUAUAAUCUAAAUUCUUUUUUUUUUCAAUGACAACAACAACAAUCUUUAUUAUAAAAAAAGUUGUUGUUUAAGGGUAUAACUGGGAUAAAGAAAGGACGAUAUUCCUAUUGAGCAAAAUCCAUUUGACAGCCUCAAAUUCUAGACAAAAUUUUAUGAGAAAUUGAUCCUUUCUACUUGUGUUGUAGACCUCUCGAACAAACGCGAGAGAAGUCUUGCGAAAAUCAACAUGUAUAAUAGUAGAAUGUUUUGUCAGCAAGUUCAAAAAACCAAAAUAAUACUCUUGAAUAUGCAUGUUACAUUAUUUGUAAAUGACUAUUAUCUCUAAAUUUAAGCAUCUUUAAAUUUCCAUUCAUCAAAAGCAACUUUAUCUGUUGGUACAUCAUAGACACCGUCAUUUCAUAAUUCCUUUCCUUUGACAUAGAUUCUCAAAUGAAAUUCCCAACUAUGAUAAUUUACGCCAGUAAAGUAGACACAAAAAUGAUCUUUUUCUUUUUCUUAAGCCAUGAUAUAGCAAUUAGCAAACACGUCCUUAAAAAAAAAAAAAAUAGCAAACACGUGAACAAUUUGUGAGCACACAAUGGCAAUCGAAGAACAAAUAACAAGACACCACUAAAUCACAAUAAGAUCAAACUAGAAUACGACCAAAUCGCAGAUUGCCACAGGUAACUAGAUUUUUUUUAAGUGGUAAAGAAUGUCUUCACGUGAAUUGUAUUAAACGUAGGAACAGUUCCAUAAAGAAUGUUUUCUAUAUAUAUAUAUAUAUACAUACAUGCAGAGAAGCCAACAUCUGAACAAUCCUCCCUAAAAAAAAAAUUUGAACAUCACAUUACAGGCUUACAGCUCUAACAAUAAUUUCUAACGCCAAUUAUGGAUGUGAUGAAUAAUUUGUUCUCACUAUCAACAUUGCCAUUUACAAUCUGCAUUUUGUUGCUUCUCUUUGUUCUCUUUUCGCUACGUAGAAGCAAUAUUACUACGGGUGCAGCUUCAAUGACACCACCACCCGAAGCUGCUGGCGCUUGGCCUUUAAUCGGCCACCUCCACCUCUUAGGUGGUUCCCAACAACCUUAUAUCACCUUGGGAAACUUAGCCGACAAAUACGGA
rnacentral:lncRNA from 1 species